GGGCAUAAGUCUCCUACACUAUAGUAGAGCAAGCAAGGCAAAUAGAAGUAAGCCUAAUGAUAGUAAUGGUAACACAAAAAACAUAUUCUAUUGUUUUGGGAGAAUUACUCAGCUAACAAUAUUUGAAAUUUUGUGCUAAUCUUUCUAUUAUUGUUGCAAUAAGGCAAAAAAUAUGUAUGGUUAAAAACACUAAGCAGGAAAAAAAAGGUGAAGAAAAGUUCUCUAUAGUUUGCAAACCUGAUUAAAUUACAGCAUUUAAUAGACCAAUGAUGAAUGGAGUAGACAGAUUUGCAUUUUCCCCUAACAGAACCUUGUUCUAAAGACUCAAAUAUUUGAAAUGCUUCAUCAAUUCUUUAGGCCUCUCCCAAACCCUUUCAAACAACAAAUUAAGAAGAAGAAGAAGAAGAAGAA
rnacentral:misc_RNA from 1 species